CUCCCCACUCUCCCUCGACGGUUCCUCCUCCGCCCGCCUGCUCUUUCCUUUCCGUCGGCCCCCCCUCCCCCCUCCCCACUCGCCCGCAACGGUUCCUCCUCCGCGCCUCCCCCGCGACGGUUCCUCCUCCGCAGGACGCCGCCGCCGCGCCUCCUCUGUCCCCGGCUUCGCCGAUCCACUCUGUCCCCGGCGUUGGCAUCGCCGCUACUCCCGCACCGCUCCACCGCCUCCCACCACAGCCCCUCCCGCACGGAUGCGCGGAUGCGGUCGCGGAGCCCGCGGAUCUGCCGAGCCGCCACCAUCAUGGCCAAUGGCGACCUCCUCCUCCGCCCCCCGGCGCCACCCCCGCGCCACGCCACCGCCGCAGCAUCCCGACCCCUACCCGCGACCCGACUCCGCCGCCCACGCCAUCGCUGUGGUGCAGGGGGCCGCCGCCGCAUCCCCUCCCCCUCCCCCAUGUCCCGAUCCCGACGCCCACGCCAUGGCGUCCGACAAAACCUGGCUCCGAUCCAGUGGCGUCGGUGCUUGUGGCUGGCUCGCCGGCGAGCGUCCACUGGCAAAGUCCCUCUCGCCUCGAUUGCUCUGGUCACCAGGUCCCAGUAGAACUGGCGUAUGCAUGAUGGAUCAUCUACAUGGAAUCCCAGAUUAGGAUUUAGGGGAUCAACAUAGGAGUAAUCUAUUCGAUCCGAUGUCUCUUAGGAUGAUAGCGGCAGCCUCCAACAUCGACGAUUGUACGCUCUGCAAUCUCCCUCUAUUGAGUUGAUAUUAAUACGGGUAUGAUUCUGGGUGAUCAAAUUUGCAUAAACCUGCACGGACAUGGGUUUAUCAUGGAUGAUGGCCUCCUCACGAUCUGAAGCUGCAGACUUCUGUUCGAUGUAUCUUUCUUGCUGUGACGAUGGCCGGCAACCAGGUAGCAAAAUUAUGUGAGAAAGAAACUACAUAUAAGUAAUUUGAUAAUUCUUCAUAUUAUGGCAUUACUUGAUACUUUUUCAGAUUGCAGUAUUACAUGCCACAUUUUUUAGAUCAGAGUAUCACUUGAUACUUUCAGCUACAGAAUCCAGAUCACGGUAUAUGUUCAUACAUCAUUCAAAUUACCAUAUACCUUGAUACUUUUUCAGGACAGAGUACAUUUUGCAAAUUGGCAUCCAUGCAUACAUCAUGAUGAUUUAGUUGCCAUCCAGACGUCUAUACUGCCUUUGCACACAAUGCAUACCCAUGCUUGCUUUCUCAUUUACGGCCUUAGAUGUAUGUAUGUUUCAAUGCUGUCCCAAGAUUUAAACAGUGGAUAAUUGUUUGCUUGGCAGGGUUACAAUCUAGAGGAUGCAACGGAAUUGUCUUUGAAGGAGACCUUGCUGGCUUCGCUGCUAAUUUACCCACUUCACCUCCUGGUUUCGCUCCACAAAGUUAAGUCGAGAUGUCUGAAUAGUGGAAAGCUUCACCAUUACCAACUGAACCUGUGAAGCUUUUUAUUGGCAUCCUUUUAGCUGCGGAAACCUGGAGAUUCCAAAAGCAAAAUAGCAGAAGGAGUCCUUGCAUUGACCGCGGUGAAAGUUCGAACGACCAUGAGACCAUGGGGCCUACCUUGCGGAAUGUCUAGAACCAUGCAUACAUCAUGAUGAUUUAGUUGCCAUCCAGACGUCUAUACUGCCUUUGCACACAAUGCAUACCCAUGCUUGCUUUCUCAUUUACGGCCUUAUGAUGUAUGUAUGUUUCAAUGCUGUCCCAAGAUUUAAACAGUGGAUAAUUGUUUGCUUGGCAGGGUUACAAUCUAGAGGAUGCAACGGAAUUGUCUUUAAAAGGAGACCUUGCUGGCUUCGCUGCUAAUUUACCCACUUCACCUCCUGGUUUCGCUCCACAGAGUUAUGUCGAGAUGUCUGAAUAGUGGAAAGCUUCACCAUUACCAACUGAACCUGUGAAGCUUUUUAUUGGCAUCCUUUUAGCUGCGGAAACCUGGAGAUUAAGGAUUUGAUGUGCCUGUGUCCUGUAACCGUAUCCUAUAACUACCAUAGUGCCUAAAAUGGAUUUCAUGCAUGUAAGAUGUAUGGACUAACCACUAAUGUAAGAACCGUUCCUGUACAUCUGCGAAGUUGUUCCA